AAAUAAAAAAUAACCGCUUGAAAGGGUGGCUAAUACGGGGUGUUCUGGCUGUGCCGCAUGGUGUGGCUGGGAAAGAUUCACUUUUGUGGUGUUUUGGUGGGGGAUGGGCUCGCGGCCUAUCAGCUUGUUGGUGGGGUGAUGGCCUGCCAAGGCGUUGACGGGUAGCCGGCAUGAGAGGGUGGGCGGUCAGACGGGGACUGAGAUCCGGCCCAGAAUCGUGCGGGAGGCAGCAGUGGGGGGUAUGGCACAAUGGGCGGAAGUUUUUUUUUUUUUAGUCGCGGGGCGGACACCGGGAUCUACACUCGGU
rnacentral:rRNA from 1 species